UUUUUCCUUUUCUUAUCUUUUUUUUUUUCUUUCCCCCCUAUUUUUACUACUACCAUAAUAAAAAUAGGCGUUUCGGGAAAAUAAAGAAAAGAACGUUUGUAGCGAGUAUCCGUUCACCUUGUUUGUUAUUAUAAUAAACUUA
rnacentral:ribozyme from 1 species